GUCACGAGUCAAUGCUUUGUUCAACUAAAUUGUAAGGGUGGGUGAGUAUGAUUCUAAAACCGUAGGGAACUCUACUCAAGUAGUGAAUCCAACUCUGGCAUUCUGCCAGAUGAGACACACCUUCACCACUAGGUAUAUGUAUUUAUAGGACAUAAUAUUACACUCCCCGUCUCUGCUUUAGAGUUUGUGGUGCUAUAUCGCUCCUGUUGUUAUCAUUAUUAGCCGGAUAUAAUAAAUUCUGGUUCAGACAAGUCGGUGACAGAAGCAUGGCAGCUGACAACAUGAAGAACUGUAGAAGACUUUAUGGAUAAUUGAAACUUUCCAUUAUAUGCAAGAGCAAUAUUUAUAUACACACACAUACACGCACACACACAGGCACACAGAUGCAUCUGAAACCAUAGUUGCCUAUAAAAGGUGUGUUCCUGUGACACAAUAUUCUGGGAUAUACAUCGAUGCGUGUGUUAUCCCCCUUGCAUAUGUCAAUAUUUCACAGACUAUUUAUAGACACAGCACAGACCCCCCUUUAGAACUUUCGUCAUUAUUGAGUCUUAUGAAAUGCACCUCACAAUUCCAAAGGAAAUCAAAUCUAAUAUACUAAAUACUGAUACAAACACUUGGGUAAUCAUCGUUAAUUUAUGGAAUCAGGACGUCCAUCUAAUCUCUGUAGACGAGGGCAGAUGCUAUUCACCCAUGUGUUUUAUAACACCUAGUUGGCCUAGGGCAACUCUAGACGAUAUAACAUGCAGGGAAUAUGAUGAUGUAAAAUGAUGACAUUACUUACUUAGUUGAUGUUAUUAACUGCAGCAGGAUCUCAGCUGAAAUUCUACCUGUCUCACCUGUGUUUUGUACCGG